rnacentral:rRNA from 1 species
CCCGCUCAGAAACUUAAAGGAAUUGACGGGGCCCGCACAAGCGGAGGAACAUGUGGUUUAAUUCGAUGAUACGCGAGGAACCUUACCUGGGCUAGAACGCAUUCGGAAUCAGGCCGAAAGGCCUGCGCCAGCGAUGGCCGCUUGCGAGGUGCUGCAUGGUUGUCGUCAGCUCGUGCCGUGAGGUGUCGGGUUAAGUCCCAUAACGAGCGCAACCCCUACUGCUAGUUGCCAGCGGGUCAUGCCGGGGACUCUAGCGGAACUGCCAGCGUAAGCUGCGAGGAAGGUGGGGAUGACGUCAAAUCAGCACGGCCCUUACGUCCAGGGCUACACACGUGUUACAAUGGCCGGUACAGAGCGCAGCGAAGCCGCGAGGCAAAGCGAAUCGCAAAAAGCCGGUCUCAGUACGGAUUGGAGUCUGAAACUCGACUCCAUGAAGUUGGAAUCGCUAGUAAUCGCGCAUCAGCAUGGCGCGGUGAAUACGUUCCCGGGCCUU